CCCCUCUAAAUCUCAAUUGUCCAAAACUCGGUCUCCACUAAUAGAGUCAAGAACCCAGUGUCUCUGCGUGUCACAAUAUAUGUAGAACACUCUAGAAAACAAAUACCAACUGAGUAAUAACUCUCUAAGACUGUUGUUAGAAUCCUACAAGUUUUACAAAUGUAAAAGGAAAAAAAUAACUUGCUCAAGAAUACAUGGUAGUCUUUAAGUUGACCAAGAAGAUUUAUGAGAAAAAAAAUAUUCAUAGUAUUUGAAGGAGUCUUCUCUUCUAUUAGGGGAAAUUUUUUUAAAAGAUACAAAAAAAUGAGUAAAAGCUACAGAUGGAAAAAUCCUGAAAUAACUGUGCAUGAUGCAGGUGGGCUGAAAAACUUUUGGGAGAAAAAAAUUGAACAUCAUGCAAAGAAAGUACAAAAUGAAGACUCUCGAAUAAGCAAGAGUGCCCUGGAUAAGCUCCGCUGUGAAUGGGCUCAGAGACUGGAAAGAAGAAUCAAGAUGCUACAGCAGCCUGAGGAAGUAUCCAAGAAGUCAUCUCUAAUCCCUAUUGAAUCUUUCCCCCUUAUUGAUAAAACAGUAGCCUGAAGUUAUAACUAAAAUGACAAAAUAGGGAAAGUGUUGUUUCAUGGGGAAUGAAAGCCCCUUUAGGAAAUUCCUGUGGAGCAGCAAAAAAAUAAAGUAAAAAUGAAUCCCA
rnacentral:lncRNA from 1 species